CACCGUUCUCACAGCAGCCCCACCACGGAGGCAGGCCUAGCUCCCCCUCGGCUCUCAGGGAACCUGCGCUCAGAAGGGUGACUUAAUUAGCCCAAAUCCAAACAGCUGACUGUGUGUGUAAGAAAGUGGAACUGACGUCGGUUUCAAAGCCAACACGAGAACCAGACCUUCUGCUUCCCACCAGAAAAGCCAUCACGCUCUUGCUUUUCAUCUUUUCGCUCGGGCCAAGUUUCGACAGGAAGCAUCCACUGCAGGUAAGUCCGAAUGCACUGAGCUAUGUCGAGACACUCGGUGAGGAGCUGAUGAGGGGGAGGGUGCAGGCCCGACGAGGGGGAGCCACACACUCGCCCCCAUCCACGCCCGUCGCCCUAAGGAAGCCCUUUUUUUGGAUUUUCAUAGGGAGGUUGCACUUGUAACAUAUGUACAGAAUGUGUAAGAAAAACAACAAUAAAAAUGAAAUAUUGGGGGCGUGAGGGAUGACCAAAGGUCAUUUUAUUCCAGGGAAAAAGGUGUGUGGACUUACCCUACAUGAAAUGUGAUGUGGUUAUGAGUCACGGACACACCUCAAAAGUCACAUGAGACUUGGAUAAUUAUCCACAGUCUGCGAAAGCCUGUCUCAUUGUUGCUGUGCAGUUCAAGGUACAAAGUCCAGGGAUGUGAUUUUUGCUUGGUAGUCAACCAGAAGAAAACAUCAGUUUUGAAGCUGGACCUGCCAAAGUGUACCUCUCAAUUAUGCGUGGAUUAUCUCAGCAUAAAUAUUCUUAACAUGUGUGCUAAACAGGGUAACAGUGCCAUGGAUAGGUUCCACGGUCCUGUAACUGCCCUCACACACUCUGACGCGGGCUUUCAGAGCCACCACAUAUGCCACCAAGUGAACACAGCAGCAUGUCAUCUGUCCUUAGCAGGGAUGGGAAGUCCGGAGAAAAAGAGGCACAAAAAUAGGAUGAAUAUGAUGGAGAGGAAUCAUAAAAUGAGGAGAAGGAGAGGGGUGGAGACCCACAACACAACUGAGAAAAUGCUCCCCCCCCGGGGGGGGGGGUGUUCCUGAACCCUUUCUGAGCUCGGGGGGCCUCCGUGUUUGGUCUGAUCCACAUCACUUCCUGUGCGAAGGGAUGGGACAGACAGAGCAGCUCGUUCCCUCGAGCUGAUGAGGCGGGAGAGGGAGGAGCGAUGUGGUCCGCAGACAAGACGGACACACCUUCCUGCCACUUGCCAAGGAGGGAGCCGAGGGCCAGCAGCGCCUGGCCACCCCAAGGGGCCACAUGCAGAAGACCCGUGCUCAGCUCUGGCCUCUCCACGCACCUGUGCUGCGUCGAAUGGCAAUGCCUGCCCUGCAGUCCCUUUGGAAGGUCCGGCUGGGACGCGACCACGCCUGAAUUCUGUGUGGGCGCAUCAGAGAGACUGAUGGGACGAUGCACAUUCAUCCGGGUACCUCCUGCUGAUCUGAUCAGAGAGCCUGCAGGUGAGCCCGGCCCAGUAGAGACAGGCGUUCCUGUCAUUCUGCUGCCUGUCUCCCCUCCUAAAUGGCUCUGAACACUGCCCACCUGCUGCCAACACUGCAACGUCCUCCUUCCGGCCCCUCCCCAGUCCUUGUGGGUCUCCUCCCUGCAGCCAGAGCCCACCUGUCCAAACACAAAUAGGAUCACUGCUAUACUCUGCCUAAACCUUCCAGUGGUUUAAGACAAUUCGAAGUCUCCCUGUAAUCUACAGAGUCUGCGUGAGGGGCUUCUCCGCUGCGCCCCACCAUCCCUUACUGCGGGCUCCUCUGGCCCACACGCCCCUCUUCCUCCUUAGGGAUGUACUGCCGGUCUUGGUUCAGGACCACAGACAUGCUACGUGUGGCGCCUGAGGGGCCCUCUUCUCUGCCCCUUGGUGCUGCCCCCACACCAGCUCCCCUGCAACCCCUGCCCUUCUUCCGGAUUCUGGCUCAGCCUUUCCUUUCCCAGAGAAGCCCGCCCUGCCCCUCCAGCCAGGGUCCCUUGUUAACAGGCUCCCUUGUGAUCUGCUGUAAGAGACCCAUGUUCUUUCCCUUCAAGGAACAUACUGUGGUUUGGGAGGAGGUACCAGGCAACGACUCACACUGCUGGGGUGAGGCCUCUUCCCCUGCAACAUAAGGUCCACGAGAGGAGGAAGUGCUUUUGAUUCAGCUCAUUAUCCUUGGCUCACAGGACGGGGUCUGGCACUCAGCAGGUGCUUGAUAAAUACCUGUAUUCUCUCAGUUUACCCCCCACCCCACGAACUAGCCCUGAGUUGGCAGGUCACAGUCACACACCAACUUGCCAACCCCACAACCAGGGCUGCGGAGCAGACGAUUUUGACUUUGACUUUGUUAUCCUCAUCUUUUUCCUUCUGUAUUUUAUCUCCAAAGAGCUGCUUUCAUACAAAAAAAAUAAACUAAGAUAAAUGCUUUCUUUUA